CCUACGGGAGGCAGCAGUGGGGAAUAUUGCACAAUGGGGGAAACCCUGAUGCAGCGACGCCGCGUGAGCGAUGAAGUAUUUCGGUAUGUAAAGCUCUAUCAGCAGGGAAGAAAAUGACGGUACCUGACUAAGAAGCCCCGGCUAACUACGUGCCAGCAGCCGCGGUAAUACGUAGGGGGCAAGCGUUAUCCGGAUUUACUGGGUGUAAAGGGAGCGUAGACGGUCCUGCAAGCCAGAUGUGAAAGCCCGGGGCUCAACCCCGGGACUGCAUUUGGAACUGUAAGGCUAGAGUGUCGGAGAGGCAGGCGGAAGUCCUAGUGUAGCGGUGAAAUGCGUAGAUAUUAGGAGGAACACCGGUGGCGAAGGCGGCUUGCUGGACGGUAACUGACGUUGAGGCUCGAAAGCGUGGGGAGCAAACAGGAUUAGAUACCCUAGUAGUC
rnacentral:rRNA from 1 species